rnacentral:rRNA from 1 species
GCUACGACAGGGGCCUGCGGUCCAUCAGCUAGUUUGUAGGGUAAUGGCCUACCAAAGCAGAAACGGAUAUGGGACGUGAGAGCGUGGCCCUCCACAUUGGCUCUGAGACACAGUCCAAACUCCUACGGGAGGCAGGAAUGAUGAAUAUUGCGCAAUGGUCGAAAGCCAGACGCAGCAAUGCCGCAUGAGUGACUACGGCCUUCGGGUUGUAAAACCCUUUUCUGAGGGACGAGACAGGACGGUACCUCUAGAAUAAGCCUCGGCUAAUCGUCUGUGCCAACCAGCCGCGGUAUGACGUACGAGGCAAGCGUUAUCCGGAUUUACUGGGCGUUCGUAGCGUUGAGGCGGCCCUGUAGGUUUGGACGUCUCCAGCUCCCGGCUCAGCUAUGACGAGGCCGUUCAAUACUGCAUGGCUUGAGGACAGCAGAGGGGGGUGGAAUUCCCGGUGUAGUGGUGAAAUGCGUAGAUAUCGGGAGGAACACCAGUGGCGAAGNCGGCCCCCUGGGCUGCUCCUGACGCUGAAGGCGAAAGCUAGGGUAGCAAACGGGAUUAGAAACCCCGGUAGUCCUAGCCGUAAACGAUGGAUACUGGGUGUGGGAGAGUAGAAAUCCUCCGUGCCGAAGCCAACGCGUUAAGUAUCCCGCCUGGGGACUACGGCCGCAAGGCUAAAACUCAAAGGAAUUGACGGGGGCCCGCACAAGCAACGGAGCGUGUGGUUUAAUUCGAUGCAACGCGAAGAACCUUACCAGGGUUUGACAUGCAGGUAGUAGUGAAGCGAAAACGGAACGAACCUUCGGGAAGCCUGCACAGGUGCUGCAUGGCUGUCGUCAGUUCGUCCCGUGAGGUGUUCCCUUAAUGUCGGGGUAACGAGCGCAACCCUUGCCGCUAGUUACAAGUUGUCUAGCGGGACUGCCCGGUUAAACUGGGAGGAAGUUGG